UCCAUCUGUUGAAACAUUGUGGGAAAUGGUGAUGAAAAGACACGUUCUGCCCAAGGGCUGCUGGCAACAUCCACAAGGCAACAGUUGUUAACAGUUUCAUGGAUUUCCUCCCAGUAAAGGAAGCUUCAAUACAUAAUUUUUGAGGUUGGUGAUUCUCAACUGGGAGCUAUUUUGACCCCCCACUCCCCACCUGGCAGUGUCUGGAGACAGUUUUGAUUGUCACAACUGUGAGGAGUGGGUGCUACUGGUAUCACUGGGUAGAGGCCAGCAAUGCUACUAAACAUCCUACAGUGCACAGGACACCCCACAGCAAAGGAUUAUCUGGCCCAAAAUGUUAACUGUGCUGAGGCUGAGAAACCCUGAUUCAAAUAACUGUGCUCAUAUAAUAAAACUGUGUAUCCUCUUUUGAUUUAAUUUUUGCAGGUACUCAAGGAGAGUGUAAACAAGAUACCUAGCAGAAGGGCUAAAAGAGUAAGAAUCACACACCCAGCGGUGUGGGAGGAGGCGACUGUGAACUGAACCACAGAAGGCACCAAAUAAAUGGACCAGGAGGGAAGACACUGAAUGGAAAGGGCUUCUACGGACAGAGCCUGCAGCUAGCCCACCAGGCCCCAAGGAGUCUAGAGUAGCCAGCUCCACCACUGCCAGGUGGGGAGAGGCAACAACAGGAAUGCUUCAGAUGAUGGGAAGCUAUGCCACCUUGCUGCCUCCAGAUACAACCCAAAUUCCUCAUCCUGGUUGAAAACCUCCUACAACCUACUCCUCAAAUACUUUCCAGCAUUUUCUCCCUUCCACGGACUCAGGAAACUGCCCUACUGACUGGGUCUGGGAGGCAUGGCACUGCUGUGUGGUGUAGCAUGGUGCAAGGGCAGCUGCAGGGGGAACAAGCCACUCAUUUGUGCAUGGCUCCCACUGAACAUGUGUAGACUCUGGACCAAGUAGGCUCUGAGUGCCGCCUUUCUUCUGUGCCUGCAUCCCUCUGUCCACCACAUCCUCCCACUCUCCUGCCUGCUUCACCUGCAGCAGCAGAUGUGAAUCUCUAAUUCACUGGUAAAUAGGAGACUCCUGGUGGGAAACUCAUAUUCAUGUCUGGUGACCUAAUCCAAAACUGGGUCUCUGCAGCUCUAGGGAGAGGGAAGGAUGUAUUUCUCCCUUAGGCCAAGGCGAUGCUCCCCAUGGGUGCUCAGGCACUCACUCCUGGUUUUCUUUCAGGAGUCUUAAGACACAACUCUUCAGUCUUUUACUGCAUCUGUAACUUUUCUCUAGCUACUGACCCUUCUCAUCAGCAUUAAAUACAUUCCUACGUCCUCGCUUCUUAAAAAGCCCUUCUUUAAUCGCCAUCACCUUUCAGCUACCAGUCUCUCUCUUCCCUGUUAUAGGGAAGAGAAAUGUACUGAGAGCCACGCAUAUGGGAGCCUCUGUCCACCUUCAACCCACUGCGACUGGGCUCUCCCCAGUGCCCCACUGAACUGCUUUUGCCAAAGUCACUGCACACCUUCUCAGGGACACACCUAAUGGACAAUUCUCAGCUCCUAGCCUUCUUGAUUUCUAGUGGCACUUCCCCACCUCUCAGCUGAGCUCUCUGCUCGGCUCCCAUGAGCCUCAUGCACUUGUUUUCCCUUCUGGCUGCUCAGGCGCAUCCUCACUGGAGAUCCCUCCUUUUGCUCUGCCUGUCGUCACAUGCGCUCACCAGGGUGUAGUCUCAGGACCUCUUCCACAUUCCACAGCCCCAGUCCUCAUCAACAUUGCAGAUACCCAAAUCUCCAGCCCACACUAUUCUGGGAGUCAGAUCUGACAACCAAGUACUCCUUGGACAUUUCAAUGUGGUUGAAUACCCCAACUUUGAAAAGCCCCAAACAGAUCUCAUUAACACUCCUAUUUAUACUCCUCCUCUCACCCUUAACCCUAGUCCAUUCCUUCUCUUUUAUGCUUCUUCUCUAUGAAUAACACAAAUAUUAUCCACCCUUGUGUUAGAAAUUCCAGCAUCAUCCUUGACUCCUCUUUUUAUCUCAAUUGAUACUAAGUUCCAUUAGCUACAGCCCUGCAAUCUGUCCCAUCAGUUCAUUUCCAUGCAUUCUACAGCCACUGCCUAACUCAGGCCCUUGCCCUCAGCAAGCUACUGGCUUUACUGAAGGUUUCUUCUGGCCGGUCUGAAGCUGCCCUUAAUAAACAAUUUGCACAUAAACUCCCUUGAACUUGAUGUAUAUAUAGACAUGUCUUGGUUCUCAAAUAGCCAGCAUUUCCAGGAGAUGGGUCAUCCUAUUAGUUCUGGGACCUGAUGCAAUGCUGAAUACAUACAAAGCACUCAGUCAAAAAGUUUCCAAAUAUGCAGCUGUACUGUCCCGAUUUUAUUUAAUUCUAUGCCUCUUUAAAGAUUACUAGGGACUGUAACAAGGACAAAUUUGACUCACCCAAAUUUAGCCAUCUCAGCUCAGCAAAGUAAGUAGGUGCCAGAGAGCUGGGAAAGGGGAUCUCACUAGUCUCUGCAGCCCUUUGGCCAUUCCUACCAGAGCUCGGCCUUUCCCUCCCAGAGAACAGAAGGUUGGCUUGAACCAAAGUGUGACAGAAGGAACUUCUGGCUUUUGAGCUUCCAUGAGCCAGAUCCCAGCAACGUAGGGGAUUUUAAAUGUAAUUUUCACUCUGUAUGAAUUAAACUUUAGAGCUAACUUUGAAACCUAUCUCCCCCAUAUUUGAUGUCACUCUCACAAACCACUGGUUAUCCAAACAAACAAACAGCAACAACAAAAAAACCCAGCUGAAAUGGCACUUAAUUUCAGAGGAACAGUAGCACAAUUCUUGUUUAGUACUUGAUGAGUACUGGGGAACUGGAAUCCAGACUCUGGCACCUACCAGCUGCUUGACUGUGGGAAAGUCAAUUUCUUCAUAAAGAAAAUGGGAUGUAAUAUCCACUCUCCACCUGGGGUAAGGAUUAACUCAAAGGAGUGGUUAUGAAAGUAACAUACCAAGGUGAGAUGUUAAUACCAACAUCUUAAAUUACUGAGUUACACUCCAGAUAGUAAGAAGACUGGUGAACAGCAGCCUCAUUACUCAUCUUUUCUAAUUCUUAGACAUUGAGACUUUCUAGUUAUGUCAUAGGACAUCUAAACCUAGUUAGAAGAAUUUAUGCAUAUUUCUGGCCUUCUUUUACUUACCUGUAGUAAACGUAUCUUGUAAAGUUUCUCUUUCUCCAUAUUAUACCGCCUGUCUAGGUCGUCCUAAAAAUUGGAAAAGGCUGUAAUUAU